AUGACCACCUUGCAUGGAAGCUCCCCGUCUCUUUGGAGGCGUGCAGAUGGUUGCGUACCGCCGGAGGGUACGAUCGCUUCUGCUAGGGAUCUUUUGAAGUCUACCCAUUUCCUCUUAGAGCCACCUUCACCUUGUAAGUUGAGCCGUAGAUCAUUCGACUAGGACUUCCUCCCUACGCGUGGGCGCAUCUGAGGGCUUUCAGAGCCUCCGUAGUCACAGUUUGGAUCUGAUACUCCAUCUUUUUAGUCUCCUGUUGAGAGUGCACU
rnacentral:lncRNA from 1 species